rnacentral:tRNA from 1 species
UGUGUUCGUGGCGCAGGAAUGUCGCAAUGUUGGCCUCGUUGCGAAGGCGGGCCUCUUGCUCGUCGUCCAGGGUUUUGAAGCUCUUGAACACCAC